GCCUGGGUGCCGUGGGAGUGGGGUGCAUCGACAUUCUGGGCUCUCCAGGGACCCCCUGGCUGAGGACAUCUCAGGGGGCAGCACCAGGCCCUCAGAGACCCUCUCGGUCCUCCCACUUUCUGCUGUUGCCUUGGUUACCCCAUCCCAUCUUCCUUCUUUCCUCCCUCCUUCCUCCAUCUUUCUCUCCCUCUGCCCAGCAGGGAGGCCCAGUCACUGCCAGCUGAGGCCUCCCUGUCCUGCCCUGGGAUGGCGGUGCAGGCUGAGAGAGAGGGUUAUCUGUUGAGCAUCCAUUAUUGAUUAAGCAGUGUUCUGGAUGAUGCAGACACCCCGUCAUUGAUUAGGCAAUGUUCCGGUGAUGCAGGCACUGUAGAGAAAGGAGACAGCGUCACGCACAUAUGUUCCCUCACUGGAUCUCAAAAUAAACCCAUGAUGUGAGCAGUAGUUUGAUCUCUGCUUUUCAAAUGGAGACACUGAGUAUCUUAGCUCAGACUACCGUACAGAAUGUCACAGACUGGUUGGCGUAAACAAUAAAAAUUUUAUUUUUUCACAGCUCCGGAGAAGUCUAAGCUCAAGGUGCCAUCAGGGCUGGUUUCUGACAUGGCCUCUUUUCUGGGCAGUCAGCUGCCAGUGUCCUCACAUGGCCUCUUAUCUGUGCACUCUUAUGCAGAGAGAGAGAGGAAGACAGAGAGACAGAGAGAGAAGGAGACACACACACACACACACACACACACACGAAGACACAGAGACAGAGAAAGAGAGACAGAGACAGGGAAGGCAGAGACACAGAGAGAAAGAGAGGGAGACAGAGAUACAGAGACAGGAAAGAGAGACAGAGGUGGAGACACACGGACACAGACAGAGACACAGAGAGACAGAGAUACAGAGAGAAAGAGACACAGAGAAAGAGAGGGAGACAGAGAUACAGAGACAGAGAAAGAGAGACAGAGGCGGAGACACACAGAGACAAACAGACAAAGACAGAGACAGAGACACAGAGAGAGAGACAGAGAAGUAGAGACAGACAGAGAGAAAGAGAGGGAGAGAAGUACAGAGACAGAGACAAACAGAGAGACAAAGAGAGACAUGCACAAGCCAGUGCCUGCGAGCUGUGGUUCCUCGCUCUCCCUCUUAUAAAGCCUCUCUAUCUAAGACCAGCUCCUAAAACCUGCUUUACCUUAAUUGCCUCCAUAGAGACUCUUUCUCUAAUUACAGUCCUGCUGGGGAUUAGGGCAUCCACGAAAGAACUCAGGGAGGCACAGUUCAGUCCAUAACGGUGAGGCUCUGAGAAGCCUAAUAACCUUGUCAAGGUCGUGCAAUCAGUGAUGCGCUGCAAGCGAGACUCACCCAGCAGCAUCUGCAGCCCAGAACUGCACUUGGGUUGACCCUGCUUGCAUCCGAUGAGAGUCCACUCAUUGCACUGGUGGGCCUUCCUAAGGAGUCCCCCGUGCUUUGCUACCCAAGUAAAUUUUGAAACAUCAGCUUUUGGGAAGUGGCCACACAAAAGCAAAGGGGGCCUGGUGCCCGACUCUCUAAGCCAGACUGUAAUCACGAAUGUCAGCACUUUUGGAACCCUGUAGCUUUCCUGCAUUUCAUAUUUUGGUGUUAUGCUGGCUGUUGGCACACCAGGGAAAUGAAGUGUCAGGGUAGGAGCUGGCCACAGGCUUAGAGAGAAAGACCAAAGCCAGGCCUGGCACAUAUCUGUGAUCCCAGCACCCAGGAGGCCAAGGAGGGAGGAUUCUUAUGAGUUCCAGGCCUACGAGGACCAUAUAGUGAGUUUGAGACCAGCCUGAACUACGAAAAGGAAGGAAGGAAGGAAGGAAGGAAGGAAGGAAGGAAGGAAGGAAGGAAGGAAGGAAGGAAGGAAAGCAUGCAAGCAGGGACAUGACUUGCAGGCAAAUGGGCGCUUAAGCCGUGAAGAGGGCUGCAGAAAUAGCUCAGUGGCAAGGCUGCCUGGCAUGCACAGGGCCCCGGUUCAAUUUCCAGCAAUGCCUGUGUGCACGUAAAGAGGCUGGAAGACUCACUGGGAAGUCUAACAGGAAGCCCCGGUGGCGCAGUGGGGGAAACCAGGAAAACAGAAACAGACUCUGUACCCGCAGCUCAGAACUUGGCUCUGUUCCUUGUCCUCGUUCCCCUGCAGACCUUUGGUCCAUAACUCCAGGGACAACUCCCUCCCCCUCCAAGAGUACCCCCUCCAUGGAUCAGAGUUCUUUGCUCACAGUGAGCACAGCAGUCUAGGUACCACCCUGCCACAAACCUCAAAUGGACCGAUUACCUGGGUUUAGCCACCUCUUCCCCAUGCCCAGGCUUUGCAUAGGCAAAUGCUGAGGCCUGGGCCGACGUGAGGCCUAGGGAGAGAUGGAGCCCAGGCCACCGGGCAGGGGCCCAGCCUGUGUGGACCAGGGAGGAGGGAAAGGAGGGGGAGGCCACCUUGGCGGCCUUGUCAGCCAGCCUGAACAGGCAGACUUGGACAUCCUCUCUCUCCAUCUUUGGCACAGGGUGGUGUUGUGUAUGCCACAGCUAUUGCCUUGGGAACGAGUUCCUAGAAGCAGAAUUACUAGACUCUCUCUCUCUCUCUCUCUCUCUCUCUCUCUCUCUUGCUCUCUCUCUUAUUCUUUUUGACACAGGGUCUCAUUAUAUAGUUCAGGCUGGCCAUGGACUCAUUUUGUAGCCCAUGCUGGCCUCAAACUCUUGUUAAGUCUCCUGCCUGAGCCUCCCAAGUGCUAGGAUUACAAGUGGGUGCUACUGUACCCAGAUUUCCAAAUGUCUGUCUGUCUGCCUGUCUUUCCUUUCUCUCUCUCUCUCUCUCUUUCUUUCUUUUUUUUUUUUUUUUAUCUUUUUGAAACAGGUCUCACUAUGCAGUUCAGGCUGGCCUUGGACUCACUUUGUAGCCCAGACUGGUCUCAAACUUCCAAUAGUCCUCCUGCCUCAGCUUCCUAAGUGCUGGGAUUACAGUCUGUGCCACCAUGUGUGGUCUCUAAAUGUAUUUUUUUUUUUUUUUUGUCUUUUUGAGACAGGGUCCCACUAUGCAGUUCAGGCUGGUCUUGAGCUCACUUUGUAGCCCAGGCUGGUCUCGAACUUGCAAGGAUCCUCCUGCCUCAGCCUCCCGAGUGCUGGGAUUACAGGCAUGAGCCACCAUGCCCGGCUAAAUGUAUUUCUUGAACAUGACAAAAUUCUACACACCAAUGACCUACACAUACUGCUUCAAAACAUGAUCCUUACUAAUAGCAGGAUAGGUCAGUUCUAGAGUGUUAAAAGGCAACUUUCUCUAAAAUAAGAAAAAUGUCCAAUAUGCCUUAAACAAAUGGCCUACCUACUGGAAUGUUAGUAGUUUUGUAAGAUAAUUAGCAUAGGUAGAUAGAAUCCUUAGGACAGGCCACUGGAGAACCGGUCACCUUGGCCUGGCCCUGGCCCUGGGAGUAGUAGUGCUUCUGGAUCAUAAUGUGCCUAUUAUCCAAUUCCAGACAUCACAGGAAUGUCAGUGUGGUCAGAGGUCAGCUCUGCUGCUGGCUGGAACCUGUCACCCAGCAUGCUCCUUUGAAAGGGAUCCUUGGUAGCCCUGAUGACAUCCUGGUGAAUCUGGGCUCAGGACUGGACAGUGGACUCCAAGCCCUGUCCCAAAGUCACAUGACCCUGCCUGUCCUCCCCCCAGACCCUGGACCCCUAGCAUGCCACAUCCUUCUCCCACCUACCAAA